rnacentral:rRNA from 1 species
GGUAGUGACAAUAAAUACCUUACAGAGGUCUCGUUAACCGAGAUCUCUCAAACGGAAUGAGUACAACGUGAAUCCUUUAACGAGGAUCGACUGGAGGGCAAGCCUGGUGCCAGCAGCCGCGGUAAUUCCAGCUCCAGUAGCGUAUAUUAAAGCUGUUGCGGUUAAAAAGCUCGUAGUUGGAUAUCAGUGCGUGUCCGGUCCGGUAUGCCCGGCGGCGGCGCUCGCGCGUCACUGCUGGGCUCCCAAAUAUCGGCUGGCCGCAUUCAAUCGUGCCGGAUCCGUCGACGGGCCGUUCUUCGGAGGGGCCUGUUGGCGACCGGCGACGUUACCUUGAACAAAUUAGAGUGCUCAAAGCAGGCUCUGAAUGCCUGUAUACAUAUUCAUGGAAUUGGAGAAUACGUCCCUGGCUCGAUUUGGUUGGUUUUGAGAGUCGAAGGGAAAUGAUUAAUAGGGACUGACGGAGGCAUUCGUAUUGCGACGCGAGGGGUGAAAUCCUGUGACCGUCGCACGACGAACUACUGCGAAAGCAUUUGCCGAGAAUGUUUUCAUUAGUCAAGAACGAAAGUUAGAGGUUCGAAGGCGAUCAGAUACCGCCCUAGUUCUAACCGUAAACGAUGUCGACCAGCAAUCCGCAACGGUCACUACACGGACUGUGCGGGCAGCUUCCCCGGGGAAACCAGAGUGUAUGGACUCCGGGGGAAGUAUGGUUGCAAAGCUGAAACUUAAAGGAAUUGACGGAAGGGCACCACCAGGAGUGGAGCUUGCGGCUUAAUUUGACUCAACACGGGACAACUCACCAGGCCCGGACACCGUAAGGAUUGACAGACUGAUAGCUCUCUCUUGAUUCAGUGGGUGGUGGUGCAUGGCCGUUCUUAGUUGGUGGAGUGAUUUGUCUGGUUUAUUCCGAUAACGAACGAGACUCUGGCCUAUUAAACUUGACGCCGUCAGUCUCUUGUGACUGCG